rnacentral:rRNA from 1 species
AUUGAACGCUGGCGGCAGGCUUAACACAUGCAAGUCGAGCGGGGUGAUGGUGCUUGCACUAUCACUUAGCGGCGGACGGGUGAGUAAUGCUUAGGAAUCUGCCUAUUAGUGGGGGACAACAUCUCGAAAGGGAUGCUAAUACCGCAUACGUACUACGGGAGAAAGCAGGGGAUCACUUGUGACCUUGCGCUAAUAGAUGAGCCUAAGUCGGAUUAGCUAGUUGGUGGGGUAAAGGCCUACCAAGGCGAGGAUCUGUAGCGGGUCUGAGAGGAUGAUCCGCCACACUGGGACUGAGACACGGCCCAGACUCCUACGGGAGGCAGCAGUGGGGAAUAUUGGACAAUGGGGGGAACCCUGAUCCAGCCAUGCCGCGUGUGUGAAGAAGGCCUUAUGGUUGUAAAGCACUUUAAGCGAGGAGGAGGCUCUUUUGGUUAAUACCCAAGAUGAGUGGACGUUACUCGCAGAAUAAGCACCGGCUAACUCUGUGCCAGCCGCCGCCGUAC